AACGAACGCUGGCGGCAGGCUUAACACAUGCAAGUCGAACGCACCUUUCGGGGUGAGUGGCAGACGGGUGAGUAACGCGUGGGAAUCUACCCUUCUCUACGGGAUAGCUCCGGGAAACUGGAAUUAAUACCGUAUACGUCCUGAGGGAGAAAGAUUUAUCGGGGAAGGAUGAGCCCGCGUUGGAUUAGCUAGUUGGUGGGGUAAAGGCCUACCAAGGCGACGAUCCAUAGCUGGUCUAAGAGGAUGAUCAGCCACAUUGGGACUGAGACACGGCCCAAACCCCGGCGGAGGGCGGCGGGGGGAAAUUUUGAAAAGGGGGCGAAGGCAUGACCCGGCCAGGCGGGGGGAGGAAUGAGGCCCUGGGGGUGGAAAAGCUUUUCCGGGGGGGCGGAAAAGGACGUUCCCCAAAAAAGAAGCCCCGGCUAACUUCGUG
rnacentral:rRNA from 1 species